rnacentral:rRNA from 1 species
AAUCCGGAAAACCAAGGCUGAGGCGUGAUGACGAGGCACUACGGUGCUGAAGCGACAAAUGCCCUGCUUCCAGGAAAAGCCUCUAAGCAUCAGGUAACAUCAAAUCGUACCCCAAACCGACACAGGUGGUCAGGUAGAGAAUACCAAGGCGCUUGAGAGAACUCGGGUGAAGGAACUAGGCAAAAUGGUGCCGUAACUUCGGGAGAAGGCACGCUGAUAUGUAGGUGAAGCGACUUGCUCGUGGAGCUGAAAUCAGUCGAAGAUACCAGCUGGCUGCAACUGUUUAUUAAAAACACAGCACUGUGCAAACACGAAAGUGGACGUAUACGGUGUGACGCCUGCCCGGUGCCGGAAGGUUAAUUGAUGGGGUUAGCGGCAACGCGAAGCUCUUGAUCGAAGCCCCGGUAAACGGCGGCCGUAACUAUAACGGUCCUAAGGUAGCGAAAUUCCUUGUCGGGUAAGUUCCGACCUGCACGAAUGGCGUAAUGAUGGCCAGGCUGUCUCCACCCGAGACUCAGUGAAAUUGAACUCGCUGUGAAGAUGCAGUGUACCCGCGGCAAGACGGAAAGACCCCGUGAACCUUUACUAUAGCUUGACACUGAACAUUGAGCCUUGAUGUGUAGGAUAGGUGGGAGGCUUUGAAGUGUGGACGCCAGUCUGCAUGGAGCCGACCUUGAAAUACCACCCUUUAAUGUUUGAUGUUCUAACGUUGGCCCGUAAUCCGGGUUGCGGACAGUGUCUGGUGGGUAGUUUGACUGGGGCGGUCUCCUCCUAAAGAGUAACGGAGGAGCACGAAGGUUGGCUAAUCCUGGUCGGACAUCAGGAGGUUAGUGCAAUGGCAUAAGCCAGCUUGACUGCGAGCGUGACGGCGCGAGCAGGUGCGAAAGCAGGUCAUAGUGAUCCGGUGGUUCUGAAUGGAAGGGCCAUCGCUCAACGGAUAAAAGGUACUCCGGGGAUAACAGGCUGAUACCGCCCAAGAGUUCAUAUCGACGGCGGUGUUUGGCACCUCGAUGUCGGCUCAUCACAUCCUGGGGCUGAAGUAGGUCCCAAGGGUAUGGCUGUUCGCCAUUUAAAGUGGUACGCGAGCUGGGUUUAGAACGUCGUGAGACAGUUCGGUCCCUAUCUGCCGUGGGCGCUGGAGAACUGAGGGGGGCUGCUCCUAGUACGAGAGGACCGGAGUGGACGCAUCACUGGUGUUCGGGUUGUCAUGCCAAUGGCACUGCCCGGUAGCUAAAUGCGGAAGAGAUAAGUGCUGAAAGCAUCUAAGCACGAAACUUGCCCCGAGAUGAGUUCUCCCUGACUCCUUGAGAGUCCUGAAGGAACGUUGAAGACGACGACGUUGAUAGGCCGGGUGUGUAAGCGCAGCGAUGCGUUGAGCUAACCGGUACUAAUGAACCGUGAGGCUUAACCUU